AGAGCAAGGGCGUCGAGUCCUUUGCAUGGCGCAUCCGUCUGACACACUCCUCUUCCUCCUUCUUCCACUUUGAAGGACUUAGGUCAUUCGGUUGGGCCCACCUGGAUAAUCCUGGAUAGCUCUCAUCUCUAGGUCCUUAACCUCGAUCCCAUCAACCAAGUCCCUUUGCCAUGUAACAAAACACAUUAAUUCAUAGGUUUGGGGGAUUAUGACAUGGACAUUUUGAGGGGCCACUCUUCUGCCUGCCACAGUGACUUUGUCUAUGGUUUCUUCCAAAGAAAGCUGCGUUCCAAAUGGUAUGAGGAACAGAAUUCAAAUCCCAGCUCAAUCACCUUUAAUAGCUGUGAAGUCUUGGACAAGACACACAACCUCUCUGGGCCUCAGUGUCCUCAUCCAUAAAAUGGCGACAUGAUCACGCCUCCAAACACUGAAUGAGGUUUAGCAAUAAAAUAGUUCAAAUCUCUCACUCAGUGUCUGGCUCAUGUGCCGAUUAUGUUUUCCUUUCUCCCUGUGAGAAACAUCUGGAAGAUGUUAAGAGUGGGGGUCUUUAACCUUGGGAUUCCACUAUAGGGUUUCAGCGGACCGUGAGUUCCCAGAAAUUCUAUGUAAAAUGGGGUGACACUGUCCCGGUACAUCUUCCUUCGGAGAGCCUUCAUAGCUUUCGUCACGUUCUCAGAAAGAUCUGUGCCAACGGGGGCUGAUGAAUGUAUAACAACUGGCUUUUGCCCGUUUCCAUGGUGUAAGCCAUCCUGCCACAGACAAUUCCAAACUAUCAAAGUGAUGUCACAGAACCCGGAGCUGGGGCAAGAUGUGCACAGCCGGCUCUGGGGAACCGGCACAAGCCAGCUCCCGGCCCCCACUGUCUGUGACCCCAGAAGGCCACAGAGCACGGCUUUUGGGGAAAGGCCUGGACUUCCAGCCCAUCCGAUCUGUUUAAUUUGAGAGCCUGUUAUGUACAAGGACUUCUGCUUUGUUGUCUCCCUCGCAGGCCUGAUCUUUAUCAGGAUGCUGGAGUUAUUUCCGCCGUGUAAGGCAGACACGCAGAGGAGGGGCAGAUAGUGGGAGCCUUGGGAGAGGGCAUUUGGGAUCAGAGGACCGAGCCCUCAGUGAGUCUGGGCCCUGGCUGAGAGACCCAGGACCCUCUGGAGGAGGAAGAGGGAAUUUGGAUUCAGUGUCAACGGAGGGAGCCACAGAAGAGCACUCCAGGGCCCGAUGAGCCAUUCCUGGAGUGGCGUAGGAAGAAAGGCUAGAACUGAGAAAGCACAGGUCCUGCAGACGUCCAGGAGAGACAGGAGAGCCUUAUUUUUCCUAAAAGGAAAAUAACCUGAAUAUUCAAGUCAACAACGUACCAGGAGUUUGAUGUACAUGGACCCGAAUCUUCACACUAUGAAGAAGAUGUAACUAUACCCAUUUUAUAGGCAAGGAAGUUGAGAUGGAGGAAUCAGCUCAAAUGCAGGAGGCGGACAAGUGGGAGAGAUGGACUUAAACCCCAGUUGACUUGACCUCACAGGGGGUGCCCUUCUGCUAUGCUGAGCUGCUUCUCCCCAAAUUAAAGGACGGUGCAGCAUCCUACAUGGAGCCUGGGGAGGUGAGGAGUCCCCAGAACCCCGCCCCACCCCAUCCAAAGGUGAGUCAAGUUGCAUCUCUCUGAAAUGUCUUCAGCACCGUCAAGAUAUGGGAAGACAUGUCAGGACUCUGGGGCCCGAAGAUUGUGGAAUAAAGAACACAGCACACAGGUCAAGAAUGAAGACCCCACACCCCCCACAGCCCCACGGUGAAUUUGCAUGGAAACUGUACAGGGGCCCCAUCCCCAGGAAUCUUGCCAUGAGGGGCCUCCAUGUGCCCUCUGGAGUGGCCACGGCUCCCCUUUCGGUUCACUUGA